rnacentral:misc_RNA from 1 species
AACGGUCUAUACCUGCGGUACCUGCGGAAGGAUCAUUACCGAGUGAGGGCCCUCUGGGUCCAACCUCCCACCCGUGUUUAUCGUACCUUGUUGCUUCGGCGGGCCCGCCUCACGGCCGCCGGGGGGCACCUGCCCCCGGGCCCGCGCCCGCCGAAGACAUCAUUGAACUCUGUCUGAAGAUUGCAGUCUGAGUAGAUUAGCUAAAUCAGUUAAAACUUUCAACAACGGAUCUCUAGAUCG